rnacentral:rRNA from 1 species
UACGUAGGGACCAAGCGUUGUUCGGAUUUACUGGGCGUAAAGGGCGCGUAGGCGGCUUAACAAGUCACUUGUGAAAUCUCCGGGCUUAACUCGGAACGGCCAAGUGAAACUGUCAAGCUAGAGUGCAGAAGGGGCAAUCGGAAUUCUUGGUGUAGCGGUGAAAUGCGUAGAUAUCAAGAGGAACACCUGAGGUGAAGACGGGUUGCUGGGCUGACACUGACGCUGAUGCGCGAAAGCCAGGGGAGCGAACGGG